rnacentral:rRNA from 1 species
GACGAACGCUGGCGGCGUGCUUAACACAUGCAAGUCGAACGGAGUGGCGAACGGGUGAGUAACACGUGGGUGAUCUGCCCUGCACUUCGGGAUAAGCUUGGGAAACUGGGUCUUAUACCGGAUUGUGCAAGAUGAGCUCCCGGCCUAUCAGCUUGUUGGUGUGGUAAUGGCCUACCAAGGCGGCGAAGGGUAGCCGGCCUGAGAGGGUGUACGGACACAUUGGGACUGAGAUACGGCCCAGAGGCCUACGGGAGGCAGUAGUGGGGAAUAUUGCACAAUGGGGGGAAGCCUGAUGAAGCGACGCCGCGUGGGGGAUGAAGGCCUUCGGGGUGUAAACUCCUUUCGACAGGGAAGCGGUACCUGUAUAAGAAGCACCGGCUAACUACGUGCCAGCCGCCGCGGUAAUUC